AGAGUUUGAUCAUGGCUCAGGACGAACGCUUGCGGCGUGCCUAAGAAAUGCAAGUCGAACGGAUACCUUCGGGUAUUAGUGGCGAACGGUCGCGUAACACGUAAGCAACCUGCCCUAAAGUGGGGGACAACAGUCCGAAAGGACUGCUAAUACCGCAUGUGGAUGUUUGGCGGCAUCGCCUUUCAUCUGAAGUCUUCGGACGCUUUAGGAUGGGCUUGCGGCCUAUCAGGUAGUUGGUGGGGUAAUGGCCUACCAAGCCGACGACGGGUAGGGGGCCUGAGAGGGUGAUCCCCCACACUGGGACUGAGACACGGCCCAGACUCCGACGGGAGGCAGCAGUGAGGAAUAUUGGUCAAUGUGGGCAACCCUGAACCAGCAACGCCGCGUGGGUGACGAAGGCCUUCGGGUCGUAAAGCCCUUUUGCUGGUGACGAGCAAGGACGGUAACCAGGGAAUAAGUGUCGGCUAACUACGUGCCAGCAGCCGCGGUAAUUC
rnacentral:rRNA from 1 species